GACAGAGGGUGCAAACGUUGUUCGGAAUUACUGGGCGUAAAGCGCGUGUAGGCGGCUAAGUAAGUCGGGCGUGAAAUCCCACGGCUCAACCGUGGAACUGCACUCGAAACUGCCUUUCUUGAGUGCCGGAGAGGAAAGCGGAAUACCUGGUGUAGAGGUGAAAUUCGUAGAUAUCAGGUGGAACACCAGUGGCGAAGGCGGCUUUCUGGACGGUAACUGACGCUGAGACGCGAAAGCGUGGGGAGCAAACAGG
rnacentral:rRNA from 1 species